UCCCUGGUGGUCCAGUGGUUAGGACUCUGUGCUGUGUCUGCUGAGGGCCUGGGUUCAAUCCCUAGCUGGGGAA